rnacentral:tRNA from 1 species
GCCUGGGUGGCUCAAUUGGUUGAGCGUCUGACUUCAGCUCAGGUCAUGAUCUCACAGUCUGUGAAUUCGAGCCCCGCAUCAGGCU